rnacentral:rRNA from 1 species
UAAUAGUGUAUAUUAAAGUUGUUGCAGUUAAAAAGCUCGUAGUUGAAUGUUGUUGUCGAACGAGCGGUCAGCUUCGGCUGUACUGCUCUCUCGACUCCUUCCUUCUGUGGACUACGUCGCACUUUACUGUGUGGCGCUAGGACGCAGAUCGUUUACUGUGAAAAAAUUAGAGUGUUCAAAGCAGGCCGUACGCUUGAAUACAUUAGCAUGGAAUAAUGGAAUAGGACGUCGGGCCUAUUUUGUUGGUUCUAGGACCGUCGUAAUGAUUAAUAGGGACAGUUGGGGCCGUUUAUAUUCCGUAGUCAGAGGUGAAAUUCUUGGAUUUACGGAAGAUAAACUACUGCGAAAGCAUUCGGCAAGGAUGUUUUCGUUAA